CUCCUCCAGAGGGCACUGUCAAAAUGGGACAUCUCAUCGUCGUUCGAGCGACUUGGGAUAAUGAAGCCGACGUGUGGACGGCGGAAAGCAGCGAUCUGCCCGGCCUCGUGACGGAAGCUUCCAGCCUUGAUGAACUGGACGCAAAACUGCCCGGCCUCAUUCGCGAUCUUUUGGAUGUGAACGAAGCAGAUGACGAGUUCGAUGUUCCUGUCGAAGUGAUCGCCAGUUUCUCGC
rnacentral:misc_RNA from 1 species